GCGUGAGUGAAGAAGGCCUUCGGGUUGUAAAGCUCUUUCGCCCGCGAAGAUGAUGACGGUAGCGGGAGAAGAAGCCCCGGCUAACUCCGUGCCAGCAGCCGCGGUAAUACGGAGGGGGCUAGCGUUGUUCGGAAUUACUGGGCGUAAAGGGCGUGUAGGCGGCCUUGCCAGUCAGGCGUGAAAGCCCCGGGCUCAACCUGGGAACUGCGCUUGAUACUGCGAGGCUAGAGUUCGGGAGAGGAGAGUGGAAUUCCCAGUGUAGAGGUGAAAUUCGU
rnacentral:rRNA from 1 species